rnacentral:rRNA from 1 species
GAUGAACGCUGGCGGCGUGCCUAAUACAUGCAAGUCGAGCGAACAGACGAGGAGCUUGCUCCUCUGACGUUAGCGGCGGACGGGGGAGUAACACGUGGAUAACCUACCUAUAAGACUGGGAUAACUUCGGGAAACCGGAGCUAAUACCGGAUAAUAAAUUGAACGGCAUGGUUCAAUAGUGAAAGACGGUUUUGCUGUACCUUAUAGAUGGAUCCGCGCCGCAUUAGCUAGUUGGUAAGGUAACGGCUUACCAAGGCAACGAUGCGUAGCCGACCUGAGAGGGUGAUCGGCCACACUGGAACUGAGACACGGUCCAGACUCCUACGGGAGGCAGCAGUAGGGAAUCUUCCGCAAUGGGCGAAAGCCUGACGGAGCAACGCCGCGUGAGUGAUGAAGGUCUUCGGAUCGUAAAACUCUGUUAUUAGGGAAGAACAAAUGUGUAAGUAACUAUGCACGUCUUGACGGUACCUAAUCAGAAAGCCACGGCUAACUACGUG